rnacentral:rRNA from 1 species
UACGGAAGGUCCGGGCGUUAUCCGGAUUUAUUGGGUUUAAAGGGAGCGUAGGCCGGAGAUUAAGCGUGUUGUGAAAUGUAGACGCUCAACGUCUGCACUGCAGCGCGAACUGGUUUCCUUGAGUACGCACAAAGUGGGCGGAAUUCGUGGUGUAGCGGUGAAAUGCUUAGAUAUCACGAAGAACUCCGAUUGCGAAGGCAGCUCACUGGAGCGCAACUGACGCUGAAGCUCGAAAGUGCGGGUAUCGAACAGGAUUAGAUACCCUGGUAGUCCGCACGGUAAACGAUGGAUGCCCGCUGUUGGUCUGAAUAGGUCAGCGGCCAAGCGAAAGCAUUAAGCAUCCCACCUGGGGAGUACGCCGGCAACGGUGAA